GGUUAAGCGACUAAGCGUACACGGUGGAUGCCCUGGCAGUCAGAGGCGAUGAAGGACGUGCUAAUCUGCGAUAAGCGUCGGUAAGGUGAUAUGAACCGUUAUAACCGGCGAUUUCCGAAUGGGGAAACCCAGUGUGAUUCGUCACACUAUCAUUAACUGAAUCCAUAGGUUAAUGAGGCGAACCGGGGGAACUGAAACAUCUAAGUACCCCGAGGAAAAGAAAUCAACCGAGAUUCCCCCAGUAGCGGCGAGCGAACGGGGAGCAGCCCAGAGCCUGAAUCAGUGUGUGUGUUAGUGGAAGCGUCUGGAAAGGCGCGCGAUACAGGGUGACAGCCCCGUACACAAAAAUGCACAUACUGUGAGCUCGAUGAGUAGGGCGGGACACGUGGUAUCCUGUCUGAAUAUGGGGGGACCAUCCUCCAAGGCUAAAUACUCCUGACUGACCGAUAGUGAACCAGUACCGUGAGGGAAAGGCGAAAAGAACCCCGGCGAGGGGAGUGAAAAAGAACCUGAAACCGUGUACGUACAAGCAGUGGGAGCACGCUUAGGCGUGUGACUGCGUACCUUUUGUAUAAUGGGUCAGCGACUUAUAUUCUGUAGCAAGGUUAACCGAAUAGGGGAGCCGAAGGGAAACCGAGUCUUAACUGGGCGUUAAGUUGCAGGGUAUAGACCCGAAACCCGGUGAUCUAGCCAUGGGCAGGUUGAAGGUUGGGUAACACUAACUGGAGGACCGAACCGACUAAUGUUGAAAAAUUAGCGGAUGACUUGUGGCUGGGGGUGAAAGGCCAAUCAAACCGGGAGAUAGCUGGUUCUCCCCGAAAGCUAUUUAGGUAGCGCCUCGUGAAUUCAUCUCCGGGGGUAGAGCACUGUUUCGGCAAGGGGGUCAUCCCGACUUACCAACCCGAUGCAAACUGCGAAUACCGGAGAAUGUUAUCACGGGAGACACACGGCGGGUGCUAACGUCCGUCGUGAAGAGGGAAACAACCCAGACCGCCAGCUAAGGUCCCAAAGUCAUGGUUAAGUGGGAAACGAUGUGGGAAGGCCCAGACAGCCAGGAUGUUGGCUUAGAAGCAGCCAUCAUUUAAAGAAAGCGUAAUAGCUCACUGGUCGAGUCGGCCUGCGCGGAAGAUGUAACGGGGCUAAACCAUGCACCGAAGCUGCGGCAGCGACGCUGAUGCGUUGUUGGGUAGGGGAGCGUUCUGUAAGCCUGUGAAGGUGUACUGUGAGGUAUGCUGGAGGUAUCAGAAGUGCGAAUGCUGACAUAAGUAACGAUAAAGCGGGUGAAAAGCCCGCUCGCCGGAAGACCAAGGGUUCCUGUCCAACGUUAAUCGGGGCAGGGUGAGUCGACCCCUAAGGCGAGGCCGAAAGGCGUAGUCGAUGGGAAACAGGUUAAUAUUCCUGUACUUGGUGUUACUGCGAAGGGGGGACGGAGAAGGCUAUGUUGGCCGGGCGACGGUUGUCCCGGUUUAAGCGUGUAGGCUGGUUUUCCAGGCAAAUCCGGAAAAUCAAGGCUGAGGCGUGAUGACGAGGCACUACGGUGCUGAAGCAACAAAUGCCCUGCUUCCAGGAAAAGCCUCUAAGCAUCAGGUAACAUCAAAUCGUACCCCAAACCGACACAGGUGGUCAGGUAGAGAAUACCAAGGCGCUUGAGAGAACUCGGGUGAAGGAACUAGGCAAAAUGGUGCCGUAACUUCGGGAGAAGGCACGCUGAUAUGUAGGUGAAGUCCCUCGCGGAUGGAGCUGAAAUCAGUCGAAGAUACCAGCUGGCUGCAACUGUUUAUUAAAAACACAGCACUGUGCAAACACGAAAGUGGACGUAUACGGUGUGACGCCUGCCCGGUGCCGGAAGGUUAAUUGAUGGGGUUAGCGCAAGCGAAGCUCUUGAUCGAAGCCCCGGUAAACGGCGACCGUAACUAUAACGGUCCUAAGGUAGCGAAAUUCCUUGUCGGGUAAGUUCCGACCUGCACGAAUGGCGUAAUGAUGGCCAGGCUGUCUCCACCCGAGACUCAGUGAAAUUGAACUCGCUGUGAAGAUGCAGUGUACCCGCGGCAAGACGGAAAGACCCCGUGAACCUUUACUAUAGCUUGACACUGAACAUUGAGCCUUGAUGUGUAGGAUAGGUGGGAGGCUUUGAAGUGUGGACGCCAGUCUGCAUGGAGCCGACCUUGAAAUACCACCCUUUAAUGUUUGAUGUUCUAACGUUGACCCGUGAUCCGGGUUGCGGACAGUGUCUGGUGGGUAGUUUGACUGGGGCGGUCUCCUCCUAAAGAGUAACGGAGGAGCACGAAGGUUGGCUAAUCCUGGUCGGACAUCAGGAGGUUAGUGCAAUGGCAUAAGCCAGCUUGACUGCGAGCGUGACGGCGCGAGCAGGUGCGAAAGCAGGUCAUAGUGAUCCGGUGGUUCUGAAUGGAAGGGCCAUCGCUCAACGGAUAAAAGGUACUCCGGGGAUAACAGGCUGAUACCGCCCAAGAGUUCAUAUCGACGGCGGUGUUUGGCACCUCGAUGUCGGCUCAUCACAUCCUGGGGCUGAAGUAGGUCCCAAGGGUAUGGCUGUUCGCCAUUUAAAGUGGUACGCGAGCUGGGUUUAGAACGUCGUGAGACAGUUCGGUCCCUAUCUGCCGUGGGCGCUGGAGAAUUGAGGGGGGCUGCUCCUAGUACGAGAGGACCGGAGUGGACGCAUCACUGGUGUUCGGGUUGUCAUGCCAAUGGCACUGCCCGGUAGCUAAAUGCGGAAGAGAUAAGUGCUGAAAGCAUCUAAGCACGAAACUUGCCCCGAGAUGAGUUCUCCCUGACUCCUUGAGAGUCCUGAAGGAACGUUGAAGACGACGACGUUGAUAGGCCGGGUGUGUAAGCGCAGCGAUGCGUUGAGCUAACCGGUACUAAUGAACCGUGAGGCUUAACCUU
rnacentral:rRNA from 1 species